rnacentral:piRNA from 1 species
UCAGUGUCUGUAGGUUAGCUUUGUAGACUCU